AAAAGUGCUUUCUUUAGUGGCUGCAGCUGAGAUAUAUCCGGAGAAAUCUAAAAGAGAAAGCACCAGUGGAAACCCCACAUUAUAUUCUGUGUAGAGCUGUUUGCAGAAUUGUUUUACACCUUAUUAUUACCCCUAUAUUUUCUCUGUAGUGCAGAAAAAAGUGAGAGAGAAAAGAGGAACCAUCUGCUUUCUGAGAAGAGUACGAAUGAAAAACUGGAGACACGAGCUGUAUAUAAAGGAAGCACAGAGCAGGUUUCUAACACAGAUCAAACCUUGAAGAUUGAAGGCUUUCAU